UACGAAGGGGGCUAGCGUAGUUCGGAAUUACUGGGUGUAAAGCGCACGCAGCCGGACUAUUAAGUCAGGGGUGAAAUCCCGGAGCUCAACUCCGGAACUGCCCUUGAUACUGGUAGUCUAGAGACCGAGAGAGGUAAGUGGAACUCCUAGUGUAGAGGUGGAAUUCGUAGAUAUUAGGAAGUACACCAGUGGCGAAGGCGGCUUACUGGCUCGGAACUGACGCUGAGGUGCGAAAGCGUGGGGAGCAAACGGG
rnacentral:misc_RNA from 1 species